rnacentral:rRNA from 1 species
ACGGGUGAGUAACACGUGAGCAACCUGCCCUGGACUCUGGGAUAAGCGCUGGAAACGGUGUCUAAUACUGGAUUUGAGACGUGAUCGCAUGGUCGUGUUUGGAAAGAUUUUUCGGUCUGGGAUGGGCUCGCGGCCUAUCAGCUUGUUGGUGAGGUAAUGGCUCACCAAGGCGUCGACGGGUAGCCGGCCUGAGAGGGUGACCGGCCACACUGGGACUGAGACACGGCCCAGACUCCUACGGGAGGCAGCAGUGGGGAAUAUUGCACAAUGGGCGAAAGCCCGAUGCAGCAACGCCGCGUGAGGGAUGACGGCCUUCGGGUUGUAAACCUCUUUUAGCAGGGAAGAAGCGAAAGUGACGGUACCUGCAGAAAAAGCGCCGGCUAACUACGUGCCAGCAGCCGCGGUAAUACGUAGGGCGCAAGCGUUAUCCGGAAUUAUUGGGCGUAAAGAGCUCGUAGGCGGUUUGUCGCGUCUGCUGUGAAAUCCCGAGGCUCAACCUCGGGCCUGCAGUGGGUACGGGCAGACUAGAGUGCGGUAGGGGAGAUUGGAAUUCCUGGU